AUGAACGCUGGCGGCGUGUCUUAGGCAUGCAAGUCGAACGGACAGUUUGUAGCAAUACGAGCUGUUAGUGGCAAACGGGUGCGUAACACAUUGGCAACCUACCCCAAAGUUCAGAACAACUCCUCGAAAGGGGAGCUAAUACUGGAUGUGGUUGUAGAUCGCGAGAUCUAUAAAGAACGGCGCAAGCCGCUUUGGGAGGGGCCUAUGGUCCAUCAGGUAGUUGGUAGGGUAACGGCCUACCAAGCCUUCGACGGAUAGCGGGAUUGAGAGAUCGACCCGCCUCACUGGGACUGAGACACUGCCCAGACUUCUACGGAAGGCUGCAGUCGAGAAUCUUCCCCAAUGGCCGAAAGGCUGAGGGAGCGACGCCGCGUGCAGGAAGAAGCUCUUCGGAGUGUAAACUGCUUUUCUUCGGGAACAACUCUGAGUGUACCGGAGGAAUAAGGGGCUGCUAACUUCGUGCCAGCAGCAGCGGUAAUACGAAGGCCCCGAGCGUUAUCCGGAUUUAUUGGGCGUAAAGCGUUAAUAGGCGGUUCUGUAAGUAUUCGGUCAAAUCUUAUGGCUCAACCAUGAGGCUGCCGAGUAAACUGCAGGACUUGAGGUCGGAAGAGGCAAGCGGAACUACCGGUGUAGUGGUAAAAUGCGUUAAUAUCGGUAGGAACACCAAAGGCGAAGGCAGCUUGCUGGUACGAAUCUGACGCUAAAUAACGAAAGCGUGGGGAGCGAAUGGGAUUAGAUACCCCAGUAGUCCACGCCGUAAACGAUGGAUGCUAGGGAUUGGGAGUUUCGACCCUCUCAGUCUCGUUCAAGCUAACGCGUUAAGCAUCCCGCCUGGGAAGUACGGCCGCAAGGCUAAAACUCAAAGGAAUUGACGGGAGCCCGCACAAGCGGUGGAGCAUGUGGUUUAAUUCGACGAUAAGCGAGAAACCUUACCAGGUCUAGACAUAUAGCUGCAGGCCCUAAGAAACUAGGGAAGCCUUCGAGGGUGCUAUACAGGUGCUGCAUGGCUGUCGUCAGCUCGUGGCGUGAGCUGUUGGGUUAAGUCCUCUAACGAGCGCAACCCCUGUCGAGUGUUAUAUUUUUCGCUCGAGACUGCCGGCGAUAAGCCGGAGGAAGGAAGGGAUGACGUCAAGUCAGCAUGGUCCUCUGACGACCUGGGCUACACACGUGCUACAAUGGGGUGCAACAAUGGGUUGCCAAACCGCAAGGUGGAGCCAAUCCCACCAAACCACCCCUCAGUUCGGAUUGAAGGCUGCAACUCGCCUUCAUGAAGCUGGAAUCGCUAGUAACCGCAGAUCAUCUACGCUGCGGUGAAUACGUUCUCGGGCUUUGUACACACCGCCCGUCAAGCCAAGAGAGUCGAGAAUACCCGAAAGCCCUUUACGGGGAAUAAGGUAGGUUCGAUGAUAGGGGCU
rnacentral:rRNA from 1 species